UGAGGAAUGCCAGAGGUGA
rnacentral:piRNA from 1 species